GCUUAUGUGUGUGUGACAUAAAGGCCUAAUGUGUCCAGCAUAUGCAUCUACAUCUCAGUCAUCCUGACAAUGUUUCACGGGCAGCCUGGCCUUUGCAUCCUGCCCUGCCCCCUUCUACCUGAUAACCUGCCAGGUGGAGAUGCCCGCCCCUUCUGCCUGACAAAUCUUCCACAAUCUCCCAGAUGCAGCCCAGUAUCUGCAUUUCAGUAUUACAGAACAGGCGGGGGUUAAAUCUCAUUUUCAUGGGGGUGGGUUAUGCGUGGCCCUAAAGAAAAAAUGUUGUUUUUAUGCUGACUGAACCGGGGUGGUUAAAAACUCCAUGGCCAAACUCAAAAAACGACUGGAAAAAUGGCAACGGGAAAGGAAAACUCAACAGGGAUGGUUUGAGCCAUGGUUCGGCCGGUCCCCAUGGCUUACUACUCUACUGUCAGCCCUAACAGGACCCUUAAUUGUUCUAUUCCUAAUUGUAACCAUAGGACCUUGUGUGUUAAAUAGACUCAUCACCUUCGUGCGGAAACAAGUUAAAAAUGUUAAACACAUGGUCAUAAGACAACAAUAUGUCACAUUAAAAGAUACAAAAACAAAUCUCUAAGAUUAGAGAUCCUCACAACAAGGAGUGGGGAAUGAAGAGUUAAAAUUGUAUAUGUGCAGGUGUAAAAAGUUAAGCUUAAGCUUACAGGUUUAAACCUUGCUGGUACAGCUGUAAAAAAAUAAGACAGAGUAGCACCUUGGCAGUAGGGACUCCAUUUUGGAGCACUUGAGACUGCAUUCUGGGAAAGCACCCCCCCACUGUGAGACUCUGGUCUGAAACUAUGAUCUCAAAUAGUCAGACAAUAGCAGUGCACUACAUCACCCUUGGCAACGCACAAAAACCCCCUAGCAUGACUGCUCAAGCUUAAAAGUAGAAAGGUUGCACCUGGGUUACCUGGGCUAAUAAUAAAGAUGUGAUUUGUCUGUGUCUUACAUUAAUGUCAAGUCCUAAUUGCUAAUUGUAAUAUUGUAACUGGUAUUGUCAAGAUUAUGAUAAAUAUUAAUUUCAAUUAGGUUUUAGGUUAUGUUGACCCCAGUAACCAUAUACUCUUUUGAUUUUAUGUACUCUCUUUUGAUUUUAGCAACUGUGUAUAGCAACUGUGCAUAGCAACCGUGUAUUCCCCCCUUCCCGGUUUUGUGGUUUUUGCCUUUAUAAACCCUAACCUUUGGUUAUUCGGGGCUGCUCUGUUCAUGUAUGGUCAGACAGCCCCAGCAUGCUGGAUAAUCAAUAAAGCUUCCCCUUGCUGUUUGCAUAAGAGAUGUCUCUUGGUGACGUUUUUCGGGCAGUCGACUCUAACAGAUAAGAGAAGACUACUGGAAAAUGAUAGCCCAAACUGAAACCUAUGGGAGAAUCAUAGGUUCUACAGAACCAUCCAACCAACCUUCACAUAAAAAAAAAAAUUCCAUGUGUUGUUCCUGAUGAGAAAAACAGGCCAAACUCAUAAGCUGAGGCAGUCGUAGAUUAUUCAUUUCUCACUUCAUAAGAUGAUAUCUAAGGUACAGGUAUUUUGGCACAGUUGAUGAAACCGUGACUUAGGAUGCGCCAUCUCUGACCUGAGUACUUGACUUUGAGUCUCACCUCUACUUCUGCUCCAGACGAUGGCUCAAGUUCUUGUGACCCUAUCACCCAUGUGGGUGACUUGAAAAAUUUCUGACUCCUGGCUUUCGCCUGCUCUAGCCCCAGCUGUUGCAGUAUUUGGGGAGUGAACCGUGAAUAGACGAUCUCUCUCUUUCUAGCUCUCUUUCCUUCUGUUAUGCUGACUUUCAAAUAAAUAUAAAUAAAUAAAUAAAUCUUAAAAAGAAGAUAUUUGAUAUGUUAAACACUAAAAUGUUUUCUGAAAGCCUUGAAAAUAGGAAUUUUUUUAAAAUGUGUUUUAUUUAUUGUCUACACAUUCAAUUCAGUUGCAUUUAAUGAACACCCAUUCAAUAUAAAUGUCAUUAUGUAGAAUCCCAAAAUAAAUAGCAUUUUCUCCUAACAUUUAAGCUUUGUUAAAAAAAAUUGUUUCUACUUGCUAAUUGCAUGGUUACUCAAAAAUUAAUACAUAUUUCUAGUAUGCAUUUUUAAGAAUUAAAGACAUUUACAUCUAAACAUUGUAUCUUUUCCACUACUGUAUAGAUAAGACCAAUAAUUAUGGAGUCUGAAGCUAACUCUUGCUUUCAAAGAAAGUGACCCAAGCCUGUUUCAGUCCCAGUUAAAAUCAAGCAGAUUUCUUGAAGAUGGAUGUGAAUCACGACUGAUUGGAUGAAAGCACAUUCUAGCAUCAAACUCCCUUUGAGAAGAAACAAGUGCACAAGUAGCAUCUGAGGAAGCUCAGAUGUACAAUGGUGAUAUAUAAAGUCAAAGUUAUAAAAAUCUGCACUUUCACCUGAACGUGGAAUGCAUGUAACAUACCUGAUAAGUUAGUGGUUAUGCAUACCCACCACUUUUAAAUAUGUAUAACCGUUUGCAUAUCUUCCUCAAACUUAAUGAAUAUGCAUGACUUUCUUUAAAAAAGAGAACCUAGGGCCGGAGCUGUGGUGCAGCAGGUUAAAGCCCUGGCUUGAAGCGCCGGCAUCCCAUAUGGACGCUGGUUCUAGUCCCAGCUGCACCUCUUCUGAUCCAGCUCUCUGCUAUGGCCUGGGAAAGCAUUACAAGAUGGCCCAAGUCAUUGGGCCCCUGCACCCACGUGGGGAACCAAAAAGAAGCUCCUGACUCCUAGCUUCGGAUUGGUGCAGCUCCAGCCAUUGCAGCCAUCCGUGGUGUGAACCAGCGGAUGGAAGACUUCUCUCUCUGUCUCUACCUCUCUCUGUAACUCUUUCAAAAAAAAUAAAAUAAAUCUUUUAAAAAGAGAGAGAGAGCCCUAUAAAACAGGUAACUCUUCAUUUCUCAGGGAACCAGAUUUCCCAUUAAGAUUCCAUUCUGCUUAUAGCAUGAAUUGUGGUCUUCGUGCCUCUAUUGGCUAUAUUGCCUCUAUUGGCUAGACAAGAACCUUGAGCAUUCUGCCCAAUUGCAAAGCUAAAGUAGCUGCCUAGGAAUUGGUAACCAUAUCUUUUGUACCUGACUUGAUAUAUUAAGAUAUUACAGAAAUGUCAUUAGAACAAUCUCUUCUUAGACAGGCAGAUGUUUGGCCUGACUUCACUCAUCUCUAUUUUUUGUCUUGUUUUUGUAGAUGUGAAAUAUUCAAUUCCAGAUGCCUGGUUCUUCCUGGUGUAACUUCUACAGGGGAGCAACAGAAUAGCUUCCUUCUAUCCUCUUAGGUUCUUUGAUUGGACCACUAAAUAAAUUGAUACCAGAAACAGUAGAAAAAACAUUUAAUUCUGUGCUUAUGCAUGGGAGUCCCACAAAACCUGCAGUUCCAAGAAGGAUCAGAUGAUUGAGCACCUCACCUAUGCCUUUCAUUAGCCAACACAUUUUGAAUGCAGCUGGCCUAAGAGCAUGAUGUGUGCAGGAGUGGUCCUCUCUGUGAUUGAGAACAGAACAAUACAAGGUCAAGGAGUGCAUAUGUUCGCAAAUAGUCAAGGACUGGAGUGGGGGAAGAUUUGAAUUCCUUGCCCAGCAUCACAGAGCAUUACAUUUCAUAGCAAAAUUCCAGGGAAAUUUGUGCUUACCACAAUUGAGAGCAAACCAGCCCCAGAAAACCUGUAAGGCAUUCAAGAGUAACAUCCAUGGAGAGCUGUUUGAAUAGCAUCUGGACAGAGUUUUAAUCAUCUCCACUUGGUCAACUUUACUGUGGUGAUGAACACAUAGAAGCUAUUUCAUGUUUAUUAUCUGGAGCAACGUUGAACGACUCUUUCUUCUUUGUGUAAUCUAUUCUCAGUGGCUUUCUUUUCAGCAUACCUUGACUUUAAAGGUGUUUAUAACCAAUCAUAUCCUAAGCACAGUAAUCUCUAACCAGUACAAACUCACCCUGCUUACCUAAAUCCUACUUUUUCAGGCCCAGCAAAUGUAAGUUUACUGUAUAAUAAUAAAUGAAAUGCUACUUUCAUGGAAUACAGAAUACAUAAAUACUGGCUGAAAUCGGAUCACCUUGGAACACAUCCCAAGGCUCUGUAAAUGUUUUUGGACUUGUGUCUCCCAGGCCUGUGUCACUUUUUACAGACAUUGCUUAUUGUUGCUGUCACUACAGAGAGAGAAUUCAUCUUCUGAGUAUGCUAUGAAUGGAAGGAAAGAAGUGAACCAGGGUCUGGGACCUCUAAGGCAUCUUCCAUCUGAGAGUAUGACUUUGUGUUUGUUAAAGGUAAGGCAAAUCUAGUGAGGCAGACAAGAAAUGACCACUUUCAGGCCAGCUCUCAGUUGAUAAAAUGUAGGUUUUUCUCCAUAUAAACUUUGCUUUCUGAGUAGACCUUGCAAACAGUAGUUCAUAUUUGACAAGAUUCUGUUUUCAAUUCUAGAAGCCUUUCCACUAGAAAAUAUUCCAAGUACAAGUGUCAAUGUAAGCAGGAAAGUUGCAAAGGUAGUAUCCCUCGGUGUGGUAAUGUGUUUCUCACCAAUCUAAAAAGUUAUGGGAUCAGGCAGGGAAAAAAAGGUAUUUGAUAGAGCAAAGGUAUAAAGUGUAAAAUUAGGUGAAGUUGAUUGAAUAUGCUUGCUGUGGGCUCAGUUGUGUCCACCUAAAAUCUAAUGUUGAAGUCUUCAACUGUCUUAGAGUAUAGCCACAUUUUGCACUAAAGUCUUUAAAAAGGUGAUCAAGUUAAAAUGAGGCUGUUUGAGAGAAGCCAUAAUUCAGCAUCACUGGUGUCCUUAGAAGUUGAAGAUAGCACAGGCGAGCAUGCAAAGACCAUGGGACAAGGCAGCAAGGGCAUGCUCAUCUGUAAGCCAAGAAGAGAGACCCUAGGAGAAAGCCCUGCUGCUGGUGCUUUGAUCUUGGGUUUCCAGUCUCUAGGAAUGUGAAAAAAUGCUGUUCUUUAAGAUAAUAAUCUAUGGUAUUUGGUUAUGACAGCCCAAGCAAACCAAUGCAAUACCAAAGAAGCAACUUCUGGGAAUCCUCAGAAUAUGAGUCUAUUGUCAGUACUAAUAAGGACUUGUUCUGUUGUAUAACACAAUAUGGCUGGACUGUUGGUACCAAAAUUUAUCCACUUGAAAGGUUAUCAGAGCCUGGGAAGGAUGAGAGAGAGAGAGAGAGAGAGAGAGAGAGAGAGAGAAAAUGGUUAACAGAUACAAGAGUGCAGCUGGACAGGAGGUAUAACCUCUAGCGUUCUAUAACACAGUGGGAUGACUAUGGCUUACUACCAUAAACUGAAUAUUUCAAAAGAGCUAAUAGAAUUUUGAGUGUUCCCAACACAAAGAAAUACUAUCUGUCUCAGGUGAUAGGUAUGUCAGUUACCCUGAUGUGAUCAUACACACUAUAUAUUGAAAUGCCACACUAUACCCAUUGAAUAUGUACCAUUACUGUGUCAAUGAAAACAGCUUUCAGAAAUAAAACACACUCUCCACUCGCAAUAAGUUAGAAUUGGGCAUGAACUGUAGCAUAAACAUACAUGUUUUCUUUUCUUCAUGGCUGUCCAUGUCAUUCACUAAGUAUUUUAUUGUGCGUGAAUUCGACAGUACUUCAGGGUUCUUACUGAUGAACACUGUUAUUAAAUAGACCACUUGUGGCAUCAUAGAAACCUUUGCUUUGAAUGAUUAUUAUUUUUUCCUUAUUGGUGGAAAUAAAAUAACCCCAAAAUAUCAGUACAUACAAAGCAAGGAAAGAAUUCUGAUCCUCACUGAAGUAGAUUUAAGAACACUUGUCACAGAAAUUGCUCAAAUCUAUGCUGCAAUUGGAAUGCUUUUCUCUGAUUAAUGUCUUAUAAACAUGUUUUGGCAACAUAGCAGACUUUUAGCAUCUGGAAAUGGAUUUUCAAAAUCUUUCCAUAUAAAGAGAAAUGAAUAGUCAACAUAGAAGAAAAUGGAUUUCUUUGGUUCACAUAAGAGACACAAUAUUGAAGAUUAGAAAUGCAUUUUGAUCCAAAAUAAAUAUUAAAAAAAAAAGACUUGGAGUUCAUCUCAGUCUGCUUUUUAUUACUGUAACAGAACACCUGAGAGUGAGUAACUUAGGAAGAACAGAAAUGUAUUGACUGGGGUGUCCAAGAUGGAGGGGCAGCAUCCGGCAGGAGCCUUCAUGCUGCUUCACCCCAUGGUAAGUGGAUGAAGCAGGCAGGGAAACAGAGGCAAAAAGGGGGCCAAACCCCUUGUCUUAUAAGGGAACAUUCUUUGAAAUAAGAAUGCGCUCUCUCGAUGACUCAUUCUUGAAGACCUAAUCAUCUCUCUUUAGGCCCCAACUCUCAACACUGUUGCUCUGGGGGACUGUCUUCAUUACAUGCAUAUUGGGGACACC